CCAGCGUCAUUUGAAAAACCUUCGCCAUGCGAAUCACUAUCUUCCUCAUCCUGGCCGUCAUCGGAACGGUACUUGCCGGUAAGGUCAACGAAGCUUUAAUCCGUAACACAGGAGAUCGUUCCGCAACGGAUGCAUCGCCUGUGGUAGGUGACACCAAAGCGGUUCCAAACCCACAUUUAAUUGGGGCACCCAGAUCUUUGGUGCCGGAUAAGGAAACUACAUCUACUAGUAGUGUAGUUACGAAACCACUUCGUGCUACACGUCAAGUCGUGUACGGUCAGUACUAUACUACCGAGGACAGUGACAUAGUGGACAGAGAAAAGGAUUUGUCUCGGCAGCGCAUAGUGAAUUGAAAACCGCAAAAGCUAUGAUGAAAUCUUUUUGAAUGCAAAAGCUGUAGUAAUUCCCUAGAUCGGUGGUGUCACGAAAUAUUUACUAAACAUUUAUUUAUAUCAUAUUACAUCAAUCUACUCAUCUCGAAGGUUAGGCCAUGAAUUCGAAGUUACCUGCUAAUUAUAACAUAUCGACAAACAAGAACGCAGCGCAAAUAAAACGAACUGGAAAACCCAGCUUUGUCAGCACUUCCAUCUUCAGCAUCCUUUGAGCAGUACUGUCUUGGACCGAUCGCCAGCCAUCAUGAAACGCGCAACGAUUGUGCUACUGUUACUCGGUGUGAUUAUCGGAGCGCUCCACGAAGUCGAAUCUCGUCCGGAUGAAGCGAUUAUCCUAGCAGCGGUUUUCGACUCGACGGAGGAUUACGGUGAAACUACUACGACGCAGCCGAGCCUUAAUAGCAGCGGAAGUGGAAUCAGUACCACGGUGGCAAAUCAUCGUAACCUAACUGGAAGUAGUGGUAUCAGCACCACCACUUUGGCAAAUCAUCGAAACCAGACUGGUCACUAAUAAGUAUACUUCUAUUCUAUUUCUAUAUCUUCGUACAUACUGUGAACUACGUUUUCCAUAAGUAUCGCUAAAUAAAUGCUCUGAAUCUCGAAGGUCACUGAAAUUAAAUGGUGAAAGUCCUAUACAAAACGUUUAGUGUGGAAUAACUCUUGCUCUUUUUCAUGUGCAGAAACAGAAACAAACAAAUAUCAGCAAAGUCGGUAUCGCGAAUAAAGCUAUGGAUUACAUAAACGUUGUAUGAGUAUUUGAACAAAACCAAAAAAAUAUUCCAGCAGUGCACAAAACAGUCAACAUUAAAUAAGUUUAAUUGCACAGUAAAAAUUGUGCCUUUAAAAACAUCUUAUCAAAAUCCGUUUAGUAAAACAAGAGUUUUUUUCAAAAUUACUAAACGAAAUGUUUAUAAUAGAAGAACUUAAUAAAUGAGAAUCUCAUCAAUUCAUUAAGAAUGAACUGUUGAUUUACAAACAAA